rnacentral:rRNA from 1 species
AGAGUUUGAUCCUGGCUCAGAACGAACGCUGGCGGCAGGCCUAACACAUGCAAGUCGAGCGCCCGCAAGGGAGCGGCAGACGGGUGAGUAACGCGUGGGAACGUGCCCUUUGGUUCGGAAUAUUCCCGGGAAACUGGGAGCAAAACCGGAUAAGCCCUUCGGGGGAAAGUUUACGCCAAAGGAUCGGCCCGCGUUAGAUUAGGUAGUUGGUGGGGUAACGGCCUACCAAGCCUACGAUCUAUAGCUGAUCUGAGAGGAUGAUCAGCCACACUGGGACUGAGACACGGCCCAGACUCCUACGGGAGGCAGCAGUGGGGAAUCUUGGACAAUGGGCGCAAGCCUGAUCCAGCCAUGCCGCGUGGAUGACUGAAGGCCCUAGGGUUGUAAAGUCCUUUCGACGGGGACGAUAAUGACGGUACCCGUAGAAGAAGCCCCGGCUAACUUCGUGCCAGCAGCCGCGGUAAUACGAAGGGGGCUAGCGUUGUUCGGAUUUACUGGGCGUAAAGGGCGCGUAGGCGGAUUUUUAAGUCAGGGGUGAAAUCCCGGAGCUCAACUCCGGAACUGCCUUCGAUACUGGAAGUCUGGAGCACGGUAGAGGUGAGUGGAAUUCCGAGUGUAGAGGUGAAAUUCGUAGAUAUUCGGAGGAACACCAGUGGCGAAGGCGGCUCACUGGACCGUUGCUGACGCUGAGGCGCGAAAGCGUGGGGAGCAAACAGGAUUAGAUACCCCGGUA